rnacentral:rRNA from 1 species
AUUGAACGCUGGCGGCAGGCCUAACACAUGCAAGUCGAACGAGUGGCGGACGGGUGAGUAAUGUCUGGGAAACUGCCCGAUGGAGGGGGAUAACUACUGGAAACGGUAGCUAAUACCGCAUACCCUCGGAUGUGCCCAGAUGGGAUUAGCUAGUGGGUGGGGUAACGGCUCCCCUAGGCGAGGAUCCCUAGCUGGUCUGAGAGGAGGACCAGCAAAACUGGAACGGAGACACGGUCAAGACUCUGACGGGAGGCAGCAGUGGGGAAUAUUGCAAAAUGGGGGAAAGCCGGAUGCAGCCAUGCCGCGGGUAUGAAGAAGGCCUUCGGUUUGUAAAGUACUUUCAGCGAGGAGGCGUUACUCGCAGAAGAAGCACCGGCUAACUCCGUGCCAGCAGCCGCGGUAAUAC